UACAGAUUUGUGGUGUGCCCUGGUUUGAACCGAGAUUGGUUUUUUUGGGGUACAGAGGUCACCAUGCUGCAUUGGCAAAGAGGUUGGGGAUUCGUUCAUUGCAGCAAGCGCGAGAAGGCUGAGUUCAUCAGCCUGGUAUGGCGCUACCUCUGCGGGGAGGCAGAGCAU